rnacentral:rRNA from 1 species
UACGUAGGGUGCAAGCGUUGUCCGGAAUUAUUGGGCGUAAAGAGCUCGUAGGCGGUUUGUCGCGUCUGCUGUGAAAACGCGAGGCUCAACCUCGCGCCUGCAGUGGGUACGGGCAGACUAGAGUGCGGUAGGGGAGAUUGGAAUUCCUGGUGUAGCGGUGGAAUGCGCAGAUAUCAGGAGGAACACCGGUGGCGAAGGCGGGUCUCUGGGCAGUAACUGACGCUGGAGGAGCGAAAGCGUGGGGAGCGAACAGG